rnacentral:rRNA from 1 species
UACGUAGGGGGCAAGCGUUGUCCGGAUUUAUUGGGCGUAAAGAGCGUGUAGGCGGCCAGAUAGGUCUGUUGUGAAAACUCGAGGCUCAACCUCGAGACGCCGAUGGAAACCAUCUGGCUAGAGUCCGGAAGAGGAGAGUGGAAUUCCUGGUGUAGCGGUGAAAUGCGUAGAGAUGUGGAGGAACACCAGUGGCGAAGGCGACUCUUUGGCCUGUAACUGACGCUGAGGCGCGAAAGCGUGGGGAGCAAACAGG